UUCUUUUCUAUGUGUGGAAGAGCCUGAAGAGAUGCUGUGUCAAGGAAGAGGAAAAAGUGUGCUUAGGAGUGAAAGAAGAAGGUGGGGGAAAAAAUAAGCACUGCAAGAUAAGAAGAAACAGGUGCAAAUUCAUUUUCAAGAACACGUCCUGCUCGCCUCCUAAACAUCAUCCUAAGUGCAGGCAAUAUCUCAUCUGACACGUGUCUUUCUGACGAAAAGGAAGGCUGAACGAGAAUAUCACAGCACUGUUGAUGAAUCCAUCAAGAAUAAUGCUUGGUGUGAUUUGGAGAA